GUGAGGAACAACACGAAUGUACCAAGGACUGGAACCGUUCGAAUUUUCAUGGCACCACGUCUCAACGAGCAUAACGAACAAUUUCCAAUGGUUCAACAACGCAGACUUUUCUUCCAACUUGAUAAGUUUACUACUCAAUUGAGUCCCGGAGUCAAUGAAAUUACUCGGAGAUCUUCCGAGUCCAGUGUAACAAUCCCUUGGGAGCAAACUUUCCGAGAUUUGGAAAGGUCGUGCAGACUCCGGCUGCAUAUGAGCAAACAUUCUGUGGGUGUGGAUGGCCUGAACACAUGGUGAUCCCAAGAGGGACAGCAACUGGACAGUUGUACGACGUUGUGGUCUUCAUUACGGAUGGCAACGAGGAUCGCGUCGAACUACCAGCGACUUCUCAACCUGCCAGAUCCAAUAAUUGCAGGCAUAAGAAUAAUUAUUCUUGGUGGUAUUUUGAAGAAAUAUAAAACUCAACAAUCUGUAAAAUUUCAU